rnacentral:rRNA from 1 species
GACGAACGCUGGCGGCGUGCUUAACACAUGCAAGUCGAACGGAAAGGUCCUGCUUUUGUGGGGUGCUCGAGUGGCGAACGGGUGAGUAACACGUGAGUAACCUGCCCUUGACUUUGGGAUAACUUCAGGAAACUGGGGCUAAUACCGGAUAGGAGCUCCUGCUGCAUGGUGGGGGUUGGAAAGUUUCGGCGGUUGGGGAUGGACUCGCGGCUUAUCCGCUUGUUGGUGGGGUAGUGGCUUACCAGGGCUUUGACGGGUAGCCGGCCUGAGAGGGUGAACGGCCACAUGGGGACUGAGGGACGGCGCAGUCUCCUACGGGAGGCAGCAGGGGGGAAUAUUGCACAAUGGGGGGAAGUCUGAGGCAGCGGCGCCGCGUGCGUGAAGACGGCCUUCGGGUUGUAAACCGCUUUCGCCUGUGACGAAGCGGGAGUGACGGUAAUUGGUAAAGAAGCACCGGCUAACUACGUG